rnacentral:rRNA from 1 species
UACGUAGGUGGCGAGCGUUGUUCGGAUUCAUUGGGCGUAAAGGGUGUGUAGGUGGCGCCGUAAGUCGGGUGUGAAAUUUCGGAGCUUAACUCCGAAACUGCAUUCGAUACUGCGGUGCUUGAGGACUGGAGAGGAGACUGGAAUUCAUGGUGUAGCAGUGAAAUGCGUAGAGAUCAUGAGGAAGACCAGUGGCGAAGGCGGGUCUCUGGACAGUUCCUGACACUGAGACACGAAGGCCAGGGGAGCAAACGGG